UGUGAAGGCAACAUGAAGUCAAGUCGAUCAUAUGGUUCAUGUCGUACUUAAUACAUGUACAUAAGAGUCACAGAUUGCUAGCUUCUAGCAAGUGAAAGACAAUUAACUGGUAGUUUAUAUGACCCUAUUCAUGUUCGAUCAGAGUUUUUAGAAUGUAGGGGUAAUACGUCUGUAAAAAUAUAUCGAAUUAAGUAAAAGAGGAAUGUAAAGUAAAUUAAUUAAUUGAAACAAGAUGUUAGAUGAAUUGCCUUAAAAAAUUCAUGAUCGAGAAUAAUAAUUAGGUAAACAAAAUAAGUUAGCAUGAUGGCCGGGUUCGUCACCAUAAAUGGUUAUCUAUCGAUCAUUGCAUUAGCACCAUUGAGGUUAGGGCUGGCCUGGCGAACCGUAAAACCGAAGGAACCGCACCAAACCGCACCGAAAAACCCGGUUCGGUUCGGUUUUAGGGCAUAUGUAUUUACAUUUUUCUCGGUUCGGUUCCUGACGAAGUCUUAUCGGUUCGGUUCCGGUUCUUGUUUUUAAAACCCCCUUGGAACCGAAAUACAGAUGUCAGUGUAUAAGUGGAUAUUAGGGCCGAGCUUAUUUCUGUAAAAUAGACUCAUUCUCAUUUGAUCAGGCGCCAACAUCCGAUCCUAUCCAUUCGAUCAAAAGUUCAAAACCCUAAAACUUCUCUAGUUCUCUCUAUCGCAGUAUCACACUAUCGCUCACUGCCUCACUCUCUGUGUGUCCAACGCGUCUUCGACGAGCAAGACCAUCGCGUCUUCGAUUUGUGUUGGGCUGUUAGCCAUCUGCGAUCGAUUUGGUUGAUGCAUCCCCGUCUUCGACCUCCAUCAAUGCGUUAUCAUGCAUGGACCAAUCGGUUAUUGAUGACAUCUUCAGCCGUCUUCUUGAAGUCCGAGGCCGACCCGGAAAGCAGGUGCAGGCGUGCAGCUAUCGGAGUCCGAGAUCCGACAACUCUGCUCUGCCUCUAAAGAUAUAUUCUUGCAACAACCCAAUUUGUGAGUACUCUUGCUCUUGAGUUAUACGUAGAGAACAUGCUAAAGUUUGAGAGCGGUGCGCUUGGCUAAGUUGUUCGGGUCUCGGUGGUCGCAUAUGUUGUGCAACUGCUGCUAGAUUUGGAUUUGGAAAUUGGAUCAUUGAAGAAUUCUCACAAGAUCAUGGACUAUUUCAGAUGGAGCUGGAACACCUUUAUCUGAAUGAUGGUAGUGAGAUUUGGUAUUGAAUCUAUUGAUGGCAUUGAUGAAGAGGAACUGAGGAAGCCAUGCUGGAAAUGUUUGAUUGUUUGCAGUAAUGCACUUUGAUGAAAUAUUGAUCAUUCAUGAACUUUUUCAAUUUUAGUUGGUUUGUUUCAGUUUGUUUCAAUUUUAGUUGGUUUGUUUCUGUUUGUUUCAAUUUUAGUUGGUUUGUUGCAUUUUAGUUGGUUUGUUUCAGUAUUUUAGUUUGCUGCAAAUUGAUGCAGUUUCAAUAUUUUGUGUGUUUGAUGGUUUAAUAAUGCUUUCAUCAGUUUCAUGCUUUGAGAGUUUGGGAGUUGGCUAGAAAUUUCUAAUUUGUUAUGUUGAUGUUGAUUGUUGAGUUUUAUGAGUGAUGGUAUUUGCAAUAUUGAAUCAUUUGAAUGUAUAUAUGGAAAUCAGGAAAACUGGAAGCUGCAGACUAGAAAAGGCUGAAAAACAGUUU